UAGAUGCGAGAGUAGAGCAUAUCAAUAAGCGGAGGAAAAGAAACUAACAAGGAUUCCCUUAGUAACGGCGAGUGAAGCGGGAAGAGCUCAAAUUUGAAAUCUUCAAGGUUCUACCUUGACGAAUUGUAGUUUAUAGAAGUGUUUUCUGUUAGUAGAGUGGCAAAAGUUCUUUGGAAUAGGACAUCAUAGAGGGUGAGAAUCCCGUAUUUGGUCAUUCCUCCUAGCGUUGUGAUACACUUUCAACGAGUCGGAUUGUUUGGGAAUGCGGUCCAAAAUGGGUGGUAAAUUUCAUCUAAAGCUAAAUAUUGGCGAGAGACCGAUAGCGAACAAGUACCGUGAGGGAAAGAUGAAAAGAACUUUGAAAAGAGAGUUAAACAGUACGUGAAAUUGUCAAAAGGGAAGCGUUUGACACCAGUGUUGUUUUUCCGAAAAUCAAUUAAAAAUUGAUUCAUGCCAGGUUGUAUUGACCUUAUCAGCUUGCAAUUUGGUUUUGGGUCUCUUUUUGAUGCACUUUUCGGUUAACAAGUCAACAUCAAUUUCCUUUGCUGUAAAAAGGUAAGAGGAAGGUGGCUUCAAUUUCGGUUGAAGUGUUUAUAGCCUUUUAUCUCUGCAGUCGGGGAGAUUGAGGUCUGCAGCGUAGAUCCUUCGGGGCUAGAUACAUUUAUGCUAAGUUAUAGCUUUUCAUAGACAACUUGUUGACUAUGUUUAGUCAUGUAGCUUACUCGUAAGUGCUAUUUUACCUACGCUUAGGAUGUUGAGCGCAUGUCUCUCUCU
rnacentral:rRNA from 1 species